CCUACGGGGGGCAGCAGUAGGGAAUAUUGCUCAAUGGGGGAAACCCUGAACCAGCAACGCCGCGUGGAGGAUGAAGGCUUUAGGAUUGUUAACCCCUUUUGUGAGAGAAGUUAAUGACGGUAUCUCACGAAUAAGCCCUGGCUAACUCCGUGCCAGCAGCCGCGGUAAUAAGGAGGGUGCAAGCGUUAUGCGGAAUCACUGGGCGUAAAGAGUGCGCAGGCGGGCUUGUAAGUCAGAUGUGAAAUCCUGUAGCUUAACUACAGAACUGCAUUUGAAACUAGGAGGCUGGAGUGUGGGAAAGGUAGGUGGAAUUCUUGGUGUAGGGGUAAAAUCCGUAGAUAUCAAGAGGAAUACGCAUUGCGAAGGCGACCUACUGGAACAGUACUGACGCUCAUGCACGAAAGCGUGGGGAGCAAACAGGAUUAGAUACCCGAGUAGUC
rnacentral:rRNA from 1 species